GUUUUAGCAGGUUACCAAAUAACUCCCCACUAUCCCCUCUCCUCCCAUAUAAUUCUUGUAUAGUGGAAGAGGUUUUAGGGUUCUUUAUCCAUAUCGAACCGUCACUCACACACAUUUCACUAUCUUUUCUGAAACCCACCAGACCACUAUGUUCGCAGCCCUCCGGUGAACCACUGUGAAUCGCCAUUCCAUGUAAGUGCAAAAUCAAACUUCAGUUUGAACAAAGAAGGGAUUUGGGUGAUGGUUAUGUAAUUUCUAAGGGGGGCAAAAUCAAACACUGAUUUCAACAGAAGGAAAAAAUUAUCGCAUGUAACUCUUAUGUUGAGUUGAGAGAUGGGGACGACGACAAUAUGGCAGUGAUGAUUUAUGCAGGUUGAUGUCUCCUUGGUGGAUUUGGUUGUAGUGGUUUUUGUUUUUUGCAGUUUUCCCAACAACGCCAUUGCUGAUUUGGUCAUCAUCCCUCCAAGUUGUUUAAUUGAUUAGAUCUUCAUCCGGCCAACAAAACUGUUCUUACUUCUUUAUCACAUGCUCACAUCCGUCUACAACUUCAUCGACAAGUUUUCUACAACUGAACUUUUCAAUCAUCUAUUGAAGCUGGUACUUUGUUGGAGAGAGUAGACGCGUUUGAUGUGAAUGGGAACUCGGGUUUGAUUUCUAAUUUGUGGACGGAUCAGAAGGCCGGUGUUUCAUUUGCACAUCUUUAUGGGUAUGCAUCAAUAUUCCUCAAGCUCAAAAGAGUUCUUUGUUUUUUGGCAUGACGAAUAAGGUGUGGAGUUACAAAUGGGGAGCGACUUGAAGAGAUCAGUUGAUGUGUAUGUAUUUCGAAAUGGGGAGUGAUUUGAAGACCUGGGUAUUAGAUAAGUUGAUGCCCGUCUUGGGAUAUUCGCAACCCGCCUUGGUUCAACAUGUGUUUACUUUAUCUAAGAAAGCUUCAUCUCCUGAUGAUGUAUAUAAUAAUCUUAAAGACAUGGGGGGUGUCAUCUUCUAACAACACACGCAUUUGGUGAAGAAAUAUUCCAGAAGGUUGAAUAUAAGAGAUCUGAAUCAAAUUUGUUACAGUGAUUGACUUCCUGACAAAGAACCGGAGGAGUUAUAGCAUCAUCUAAAGAAAAAAAAAAGAUGCCGCCAGGAUGAUAAAAGUCUACUUUUAGUGAUCAUCGUUUAAUCAAUCUAAUUUUAAUAUGAAUUGAUUUUUGGUUUUUCAAGAAUUUAUGAAUUGAUUCCAAUUAUGAUUCCCUAAUCCUAUUUAAUAUGAAUUUAAUGUUUGGUUAUU
rnacentral:lncRNA from 1 species